CCCUUUCCUGUGGCCCUCCAUAAGUAUACUUUAUAUGCUAAAUCAAUGGUAAAUUAAUAGAAUCAAGUUGGAGACUCAAUAAUUCUGCUGGGAGAGAUGGAGAAGUUACAUUUUCUAACCAGAACUGUUCAUCUCUCUCACUACUCAUCCUCCCCAGAGAUUAAACACACACAAAAAGUGGGACACUGAUCUCUGUUCUUCCUUUCCAGGGAAAGGAGACACAAGAGGAAUGGAAUAAUGGAACGCACAAUCUGAGGUCACUUCUGGAGAAGAUUCGUACAUGUAAGGAUACAGAAAAGAGAUGUAGACAUCACAGGACAAUCACUUCAUGGCAAGAGUUGAGUCCAGGCUCUGUGUGAAGAGUCCGAUGGAGGCGUGCCUGGGUGG
rnacentral:lncRNA from 1 species